ensembl:lncRNA
CAAGGACUGUGCCGACCUCGAUAUCCACAAGACAGUCAAAGUGGUAAUGUACAUUUUUACAGAAAGAUUGGAAUGAUACCGAUUUGGGGCAAGUAAUACCUGAUGUCAGAUAUAUAACACUAAAAUCACACUGUUUACUCAUUUAAACCAGCGUGCUGAAGCAAUAUUUAAAGCAUGUAAUUAUAGUGACUGAUAAUUAAGUAAAAUUGUUUUUUUCAGGAUGUGAUGAGAAAUGAGAUUAUUUUACAUGUGGUUUAAGAUCUCAGGCUGUUGUCAGCCGUGUAAUUGAAGGUUAUUGACAAGUUGUUCUAUCGCAAUUUAUUGUAUAGAUUCUGAAUAUAAUGCAAAUCUUGAGAAAUGAGACAAUCUAUUCUAAUGGUCCUUAUUAGCUGGUGGGAACAGAAGAAUUGUCAUCUGAAGGAAAGAACAAUACUAAUGAGUUGUCACUGUCUUGGGAUUUGCCUCAAGUCACAUGUGAGAACAGAAGAUGCUGCUGGACAAGCUGAUGCUCCACGCAGUACUUGGAAGAAGCUCAAGACGGGUUAAACAGUUACGAAGGGGCUUAAAAGAGACGCUGAUCUGGCCUUUGCUACCUGAGAGGAAAGACACAAUUCCCUCCUCUUUCCAAGAGCAUGUGAUGUACAGCGCACACCACAGAUGGUCUUGGAGAAGAUAAAGUGUCCAACACAGGAUGACGACGAAGACAGUGACGUCUCUUUGGAGGAUACAUGUCGGACCACAAGAUUCCUUCGCUCAUUUAUUGAGAAUCAUCUGUCAGCAUCCUUGGGAAACUCCUACAGUUGUGGAUAGGAUGGAAUGUGCUCCCCAGACACCAGCUGGAUAUCAGCGUGGUGGAGAGCAACUUCUCCACUUCCUCCACCUGCUUCCACCAGCUGAAGCUUCCAGUACAAAGACUACUGCCACUCUGAAAUGGACCUUCUUGCUGCUACUUGUAGGACACUGUUUUUGGGUUGGUCUAAGGACUCUGUCCAUCAAGAUAACACUUUGUAUGUGCACUUUAGAGCUGCAAUGAAUAGUCAACUAAAUCGACUACGUCGAUUGUGAAAAAUUGUCGACGUGGAUUUUUAACGUCGCGCGUCAUAUAUUUUAUGUCAGAGCUGCCGGUAAUUUUCAUUCAGCAUUGCAAUGCACUACCGGAAGUGCAGGGGGCAGUAUGGCUUACAUUGUCUAUAUGCACCAAGGCAUAGACAUACUUACACCAAGGCAAAGAAGAAGAACGAUUUUGAAUCACGGCGGAACAGAGCUCGACCGAGAGCUUCAAAAGUCUGGGAAUAUUUUACCAGCAAACAAAAUCUACAGCUACAAAUGGGGACUCCUGAACACAAACUUGUCCAAGAUGUCAGUACCAGGUGGAACAGCACCUAUCACAUGAUUAGUCGCCUACUGGAACAGAGGUGGCCAGUCACUGCAGCCCUUUCUGACCCGGCAACACAGAGAGGGAAACAAUACCUGGACCUCAAAAGCGAUCAGUGGACCCUUCUCCAAGAACUGGCCCAAGCUCUCCAGGCCUUUGAAUGUGCCACUGUGUACUUGAGUGGUGAGAGUUAUGUGACAGUCUCUGCACUGCCUCCUCUGGUCAAAGGGCUUCUGAAGUCCACCCACACUUCUUAUGAGACAACUCCUGUGC